rnacentral:rRNA from 1 species
UACGUAGGGUCCGAGCGUUGUCCGGAAUUAUUGGGCGUAAAGGGCUCGUAGGCGGUUCGUCACGUCGGGAGUGAAAACUCGGAGCUUAACUCCGAGCCUGCUUCCGAUACGGGCAGACUAGAGGUAGGCAGGGGAGAGCGGAACUCCUGGUGUAGCGGUGGAAUGCGCAGAUAUCAAGAGGAACACCUGAGGUGAAGACGGGUUGCUGGGCUGACACUGACGCUGAGGCGCGAAAGCUAGGGUAGCAAACGGG